rnacentral:rRNA from 1 species
UACGAGGGGUGCAAGCGUUGCUCGGAAUUAUUGGGCGUAAAGGGUAGGUAGGUGGUCUCAUUUGUCUGGGGUGAAAGCCUCGAGCUUAACUCGAGAAGUGCCUCGGAAACGGUGAGACUAGAGUCUUGGAGAGGGUCGUGGAAUUCCCGGUGUAGCGGUGAAAUGCGUAGAGAUCGGGAGGAACACCGGUGGCGAAGGCGGGUCUCUGGGCAUUUCCUGACGCUGAGGUGCGAAAGCGUGGGGAGCAAACGGG